rnacentral:lncRNA from 1 species
CAUCCAGCCUCAAUAGGCAUUGAUAGGCAAAGACAUGCAAUAGAAGAGGCCACUGAGGAAAUCUCUGCAGAACUGAUGUUGGCAGCUCUUCUUCUCUGAAGCCCUUCAAGCCCUUCAAUGACAUGGCAGGGACAUUGUUUUUCUUGGGCAACUGAGACAUUGGUUGGAGCAGGUGAGGAUGAGUUGGUGGUGUUGCAGCCAAUAGCAACCUGUGUGUAGGAGUAAUUCCACCACCUUUGGGGGUCUUUCUGUCAGAGGGUCUCCUUCAUUGAUACUUUAGAAAAGAGGACAUGAAGCUGAUGUCUGGAAGAGAAGUAAGGAAGAAGACUCCUGAGCUGGUGUUAAACCCCAGGAAAAUCAAAAGGAGUUACAUGGAAUGGACUUUGUCCCACUGA